UCUCGAGUAGUAUAGUGGUGAGUAUCCCCGCCUGUCACGCGGGAGACCGGGGUUCAAUUCCCCGCUCGAGAG